rnacentral:rRNA from 1 species
UACGAAGGGGGCUAGCGUUGCUCGGAAUCACUGGGCGUAAAGGGUGCGUAGGCGGGGCUUUAAGUCAGGGGGGAAAUCCUGGAGCUCAACUCCAGAACUGCCUUUGAUACUGAAGAUCUUGAGUUCGGGAGAGGUGAGUGGAACUGCGAGUGUAGAGGUGAAAUUCGUAGAUAUUCGCAAGAACACCAGUGGCGAAGGCGGCUCACUGGCCCGAUACUGACGCUGAGGCACGAAAGCGUGGGGAGCAAACCGG